ACAUCUUUAGCUUAAUGGAAUAGCAGUGGUUUUCUAAGUCAUAGCGUACAGGUUCAAAUCCUGUAAGAUGUA
rnacentral:tRNA from 1 species